rnacentral:lncRNA from 1 species
UGGGCUGUCAGUUCAUAGACACCAGAGUUAGCCAGAAGCAGAGUAGAGUGUUCAACACAUUCAUGGAUAUGAACACCACGAGGGAAUGGAGUCCGCUGCUAGAGUAAGAUGGAAGUAUGGUGCUGUGUGGCAGUGCUGCAGCCACUGACUUCCAUCAGCCUCAUCUCUCGGAAUCUCCUUCAUCACCAUGGCAACAGCCUUAUCUGCCGCCCUAGAGCCUUUCCCCUACAACAGGGAAACCAACAAGGGCGAGUCAGCAGCGGCCCGAGCGCACCCGCGCAACGCGACACGAGACGGCGCGCACUGCAGGAGGCAAGGUCUGGGUCGACGUGGUACGCACAGACACUGUUCAAAAGAACAAUAAAUCAG